UUUUUUUGAAUGGGGUGCCUUAAUAUUUCGGGCUGAGAUCAUACCCUUUGAACCUGAGCGGGUAAUGCUGCUAAGGGAAUAAGCAAUCCAUCUUC
rnacentral:ncRNA from 1 species